GUCUGAAUCAGCUUGUGUGUUAGUGGAAGCGUCUGGAAAGUCGCAGGGUACAGGGUGAUACUCCCGUACACUAAAACACACAGGUUGUGAACUCGAAGAGUAGGGCGGGACACGUGGUAUCCUGUCUGAAUAUGGGGGGACCAUCCUCCAAGGCUAAAUACUCCUGACUGACCGAUAGUGAACCAGUACCGUGAGGGAAAGGCGAAAAGAACCCCGGCGAGGGGAGUGAAAAAGAACCUGAAACCGUGUACGUACAAGCAGUAGGAGCCCACUAGUUGGGUGACUGCGUACCUUUUGUAUAAUGGGUCAGCGACUUAUAUUCUGUAGCAAGGUUAACCGUAUAGGGGAGCCGCAGGGAAACCGAGUCUUAACUGGGCGUUAAGUUGCAGGGUAUAGACCCGAAACCCGGUGAUCUAGCCAUGGGCAGGUUGAAGGUUGGGUAACACUAACUGGAGGACCGAACCGACUAAUGUUGAAAAAUUAGCGGAUGACUUGUGGCUGGGGGUGAAAGGCCAAUCAAACCGGGAGAUAGCUGGUUCUCCCCGAAAGCUAUUUAGGUAGCGCCUCGUGAACUCAUCUUCGGGGGUAGAGCACUGUUUCGGCUAGGGGGUCAUCCCGACUUACCAACCCGAUGCAAACUACGAAUACCG
rnacentral:rRNA from 1 species